rnacentral:rRNA from 1 species
GACGAACGCUGGCGGCGUGCCUAAUACAUGCAAGUCGAGCGAAGUUUUUCUGGUGCUUGCACUAGAAAAACUUAGCGGCGAACGGGUGAGUAACACGUAAAGAACCUGCCUCAUAGACUGGGACAACUAUUGGAAACGAUAGCUAAUACCGGAUAACAGUAUUUCUCGCAUGAGAGAUAUUUAAAAGUUGGUUAUGCUAACACUAUGAGAUGGCUUUGCGGUGCAUUAGCUAGUUGGUGGGGUAAAGGCCCACCAAGGCGACGAUGCAUAGCCGACCUGAGAGGGUGAUCGGCCACACUGGGACUGAGACACGGCCCAGACUCCUACGGGAGGCAGCAGUAGGGAAUCUUCCGCAAUGGGCGAAAGCCUGACGGAGCAACGCCGCGUGAGUGAAGAAGGAUUUCGGUUCGUAAAGCUCUGUUGUUAGGGAAGAAUGGAUAUGUAGUAACUAUACAUAUAAGAGACGGUACCUAACCAGAAAGCCACGGCUAACUACGUGCCAGCAGCCGCGGUAAUACGUAGGUCCCGAGCGUUGUCCGGAUUUAUUGGGCGUAAAGCGAGCGCAGGCGGUUAGAUAAGUCUGAAGUUAAAGGCUGUGGCUUAACCAUAGUACGCUUUUGGAAACUGUUUAACUUGAGUGCAAGAGGGGGAGAGUGGAAUUCCAUGUUUUAUCGGUGAAAUUGUCUAGAUAUAUGGAGGAACAACCGGGGGCGG